GACGAACGCUGGCGGCGUGCUUAACACAUGCAAGUCGAACGAAGUGGCGAACGGGUGAGUAACGCGUAAUCAACCUGCCCUUCAGAGGGGGACAACAGUUGGAAACGACUGCUAAUACCGCAUACUGAAGGAGGGGAUUGCGUCUGAUUAGCUAGUUGGAGGGGUAACGGCCCACCAAGGCGAUGAUCAGUAGCAGUGCGGAGAGGAUGAACGGCCACAUUGGGACUGAGACACGGCCCAGACUCCGCCGGGAGGCAGCAGUAGGGAAUCUUCCGCAAUGGGCGCAAGCCUGACGGAGCAACGCCGCGUGAGUGAAGAAGGUCUCCGGAUCGUAAAGCCCUGUUGUAAGAGAAGCGGUACCUUACCAGAAAGCAACGGCUAACUACGUGCCAGCAGCCGCGGUAAUAC
rnacentral:rRNA from 1 species